AUGUGCCGCACACAGGUACAGCUUUUGAAGUUGAAGGAGGGAAACCUGAGAGUGAUAGAAAUGAAGAAGGCGGAGAUAAGUUGUGUUAAAGAUACUGAUUUAGAAGAGAGAGGCUAUGAUGUCGAGAUCACUCACAAUGAAGCAUCAGAAGGUUUGCUAUACGAAGAAGUUCUGACAUUGCUGAGUAAGAGUGCUCAAAGGAAAGAACGACGGGAAGCUCUUUUGGAACGAAAAAAGAAGCAAAGAGCAAGGAUUGACCCAACCACAACAAAGGCCACCAUUGAUGAGAUUGCAACUAAAGCUUACAGCCGGUGCAGUGUGCCAUACUUCUUUGAGAUUGUCAAUCUCGUGUGGAAGAGCCACCGCAGGGCCCAGCUUGUUAGGAAUAGUGGUUUUGGCUAUCUGCUGGAGCUGGUCGACUGUCCUGUACCCAGGGGUUUGUGCAGUGGAUUGCUGAUAAUGUGGACACACAAGUAG
rnacentral:rRNA from 1 species